AGUGAACGCUGGCGGUAGGCCUAACACAUGCAAGUCGAACGGCAGCACAGUAAGAGCUUGCUCUUACGGGUGGCGAGUGGCGGACGGGUGAGGAAUACAUCGGAAUCUACUUUUUCGUGGGGGAUAACGUAGGGAAACUUACGCUAAUACCGCAUACGACCUACGGGUGAAAGCAGGGGAUCUUCGGACCUUGCGCGAUUGAAUGAGCCGAUGUCGGAUUAGCUAGUUGGCGGGGUAAAGGCCCACCAAGACGACGAUCCGUAGCUGGUCUGAGAGGAUGAUCAGCCACACUGGAACUGAGACACGGUCCAGACUCCUACGGGAGGCAGCAGUGGGGAAUAUUGGACAAUGGGCGCAAGCCUGAUCCAGCCAUACCGCGUGGGUGAAGAAGGCCUUCGGGUUGUAAAGCCCUUUGUUGGGAAAGAAAAGCAGCAGGUUAAUACCCCGCUGUUCUGACGGUACCCAAAGAAUAAGCACCGGCUAACUUCGUG
rnacentral:rRNA from 1 species